rnacentral:rRNA from 1 species
GAUGAACGCUGGCGGAGGGAGGAAUACAUGCAAGUCGAGCGAACAGAUGAGGAGCUUGCUCCUCUGACGUUAGCGGCGGACGGGUGAGUAACACGUGGAUAACCUACCUAUAAGACUGGGAUAACUUCGGGAAACCGGAGCUAAUACCGGAUAAUAUAUUGAACCGCAUGGUUCAAUAGUGAAAGACGGUUUUGCUGUCACUUAUAGAUGGAUCCGCGCCGCAUUAGCUAGUUGGUAAGGUAACGGCUUACCAAGGCAACGAUGCGUAGCCGACCUGAGAGGGUGAUCGGCCACACUGGAACUGAGACACGGUCCAGACUCCUACGGGAGGCAGCAGUAGGGAAUCUUCCGCAAUGGGCGAAAGCCUGACGGAGCAACGCCGCGUGAGUGAUGAAGGUCUUCGGAUCGUAAAACUCUGUUAUUAGGGAAGAACAAAUGUGUAAGUAACUAUGCACGUCUUGACGGUACCUAAUCAGAAAGCCACGGCUAACUACGUG